rnacentral:rRNA from 1 species
AGUCACUGACAUUAGAUACCCCUGUAGUCCAGGGUGUAAACGCCGCAGACUUGGUGUUGGAAGCCCUUUGGGGGCAUUCAGUGCCGGAGAGAAGUUGUUAAGUCUGCUACUUGGGGAGUACGUCCGCAAGGAUGAAACUUAAAGGAAUUGGCGGGGGAGCACCGCAACGGGAGGAGCGUGCGGUUUAAUUGGAUUCAACACCGUAAAACUCACCAGGGAAGACUGUUACAUGAAGGCCGAGAUGAAGACUCUGCUAGAUUUUCAG